rnacentral:rRNA from 1 species
ACGGGGGGAGCAAGCGUUGUUCGGAAUUACUGGGCGUAAAGGGCGUGUAGGCGGCCUUGUAAGUCGGGGGUGAAAUCCACUGGCUCAACCAGUGACGUGCCUUCGAAGCUGCUUGGCUUGAGUAUGGCAGAGGAGAGCGGAAUUCCAGGUGUAGCGGUGAAAUGCGUAGAUAUCUGGAAGAACACCGGUGGCGUAGGCGGCUCUCUGGGCCAAUACUGACGCUGAUGCGCGAAAGCCAGGGGAGCAAACGGGA